rnacentral:rRNA from 1 species
UGUGAGAGCCCAGAGCUUAACUCUGGAAGUGCACGAGAAACUGUUUGAGUUGAGUUCCGGAGAGGAAGAUGCAAUUCCCGGCCUAUCGGUGAAAUGCGUAGAUAUCGGGAGGAACAUCCGUGGCGAAGGCGAUCUUAUGGGACGGAUACUGACAGCUGAGGCGCGGAAGCUAGGGGAGCAUACGGGAUUAGAUACCCCGGUAGUCCUAGCCGUCAACGAUGUACACUUGGUGUGAGCCGGUUUUCGCUCUGUGCCGAAGGUCAACGCGAUAAGUGUACCGCAUGGGGAGUACGGUACCAAGGCUGAAAAUCAAAGGAAUUGACGGGGGCCAGCACAAUCGCUGGAGCAUAUGGUUCAAUUCGAUGCAACGCGAAGAACCUUACCUGGGUUUGAACUGCUAGUGAAGACUCCAGAGAUGGAGUUGGCUAGCAAUAGACAGUAGUAGAGGUGCUGCAUGGCUGUCGUCAGCUCGUGUCGUGAGAUGCUGGGUUAAGUUCCCGCAACGAGCGCAACCCUUGUCUCUAGUUGGUCGUUCGUAAGAUCAGCACUCUAUACGAGACUGCCGGUGAUAAACCGGAGGAAGGUGGGGAUGACGUUAAGUCAUCAUGGCCUUUAUGUCCAGGGCUACACACGUGCUACAAUGGCGCGAUACAAAGGCUCGCCAACCCGCAAGGGGGAGCCUAUCCCAUCAAUAUCGGCCUCAGUUCGGAUUGCACUCUGCAACUCGAGUGCAUGAAGG